AAGCCUGGGAAAUUGCCCUGAUGUGGGGGAUAACCAUUGGAAAACGAUGGCUAAUACCGCAUGAUGUCUACGGACCAAUGAGGGGGACUUCGGGCCUCUCGCGUCAGGAUAUGCCCAGGUGGGAUUAGCUAGUUGGUGAGGUAAUGGCUCACCAAGGCGACGAUCCCUAGCUGGUCUGAGAGGAUGAUCAGCCACACUGGAACUGAGACACGGUCCAGACUCCUACGGGAGGCAGCAGUGGGGAAUAUUGCACAAUGGGCGCAAGCCUGAUGCAGCCAUGCCGCGUGUAUGAAGAAGGCUUCGGGUUGUAAAGUACUUUCAGCAGUGAGGAAGGAUGUAGUUUUAACAGAGCUGCAUUUUGACGUUAGCUGCAGAAGAAGCACCGGCUAACUCCGUGCCAGCAGCCGCGGUAAUACGGAGGGUGCGAGCGUUAAUCGGAAUUACUGGGCGUAAAGCGCAUGCAGGUGGUCUGUUAAGUCAGAUGUGAAAGCCCGGGGCUUAACCCCGGAGUUGCAUUUGAAACUGGCAGGCUAGAGUACUGUAGAGGGGGGUAGAAUUUCAGGUGUAGCGGUGAAAUGCGUAGAGAUCUGAAGGAAUACCGGUGGCGAAGGCGGCCCCCUGGACAGAUACUGACACUCAGAUGCGAAAGCAUGGGGAGCAAACAGGAUUAGAUACCCUGGUAGUCCACGCCGUAAACGAUGUCUACUUGGAGGUUGUGACCUAGAGUCGUGGCUUUCGGAGCUAACGCGUUAAGUAGACCGCCUGGGGAC
rnacentral:rRNA from 1 species